GGGUACGCAUGCAAUCGAAACAACAUGUUCACCUGCACGGAUGCAAGCAAAUAUAUAUUCUGGGAUUCAUUUCAUCCAACAGAGAAAGCAAAUCAUAUAAUCUCUGAUUAUGUGAUGAAUAAUGUACUGGCCCAGUUUCGUUGAUUCUCUUCAAUUUCAAGACCAAUGUAUGUGUCCUAUGUUUUAGUGUCAUUAUAUAUAGUACAGUAAGACAUUAAGCAUGAUGUUGGUAGAAAAUAUGAUGUUGACACUUGGCAGAAAAAUGGCAUAAAGCCUGUGAACCUAUGAUCAAAUUGGUGCCUGGGAUGUCAAUACGUACUUGUCCCCACAUUUCUUAGUAACCCUCAGUCGUUUUCAUGAUAUAAUUUUUUUUCCCCCAAAUUUUUGUGCCCUACAGGCAACAGCAGCAACACUCUAUGUGGAAGUACAUUGUGGCAGGGUUGGCUAUAAAUUUAAGUAAUUUGCAUUAAGGCUCUAGUAUAAGUACUGUAAUUUGAAGGGCUGGGACCUAGUUAGGCGAUUUGUACUAGACAAUGCCCUCACAAGGGCGGACCACACUUGGAGUCGCAUAAUAAGGCAAGUUACUUAUGACGCUCUAUUUUAUUGAUCCCUCGUUAUUUAAGGUUUUCUUGAUAUUUCUUUAAAAUAAAGGUAAUGUGCUUGAUGAAAUGCCUACCAAAAUUGACGCGGCCAUAUGGUAAUAUAUUUUUCUGCCCCCACAAAGAAAAAUCCACAGAUCCCCUAUUUGUUGAGGGAAUUUUGGAAUAUAAGUUUAAUACUACAAGUUAAAUAAUGCCUAGACAAGCUUAGUGAUCAUAUUCAUCAAUAAGGAUUGCUUGGUUAGAGAAUCAGAAGUGGAAGGGACAUACACCUUUUGCUGUUGGAAUCUUCUGCAAUGGGAAGGUGUAUUGUGGGUGUAAAUUUGUAUUUUUUGCCAAAGAUGGACAAUAAAAUGCAAUUGUACAUCUAUUUUUACAUUUUUUUUGCAAACAGUAACGACUGAAGAGGGAAUGUUGAUGAAGAAUUAGGCGCCUAGAUGCGCACCUAAGCUUUAGUCGCCAGCCAACUGCUGCUCCACAGGUCCCACGGCUACUUAGUGCAUUCUGACAUCAUCACAUUGCUUCUUGCAACUGUCUUACUCUUCCCAAGAAUCAAGGGUUGUGAUUCAUCUCCAUUCAAAAUAGAAGUCCUAGAUUCAUUGACCUUUAUAAACUGAAAAAAUUACCUAAAAUAAAUACAUAACCAUCAAAUGGUUCAAAAAAUUCCCAUCAAAUGGUUCAAAAAAUUCAAAACCAAACACUUAAAAUGUUAUUUUCUGAAGGCUUUUUAUCAUAAAACAUUUCUGACGUUUGCGAAACUAUCAGAUUGCAUCCUUAAAAAUUUUUUGUAUCACUCAUGGUCCCUAACGUUAAUAUAGGUGCUCUUAGAUAGUCCCUCUGUCAAAAAAAAUUGUUAAAUCCAGGGAUAUAAUCAUCAAAUCAAUCCAAAUAAUAAUAUAUAUAUAUUAUUUCCUUCCCUUCUCUCUUUCUUUCUUCUUCUUCUUUCUCUCUUUAUUUUCUUCUUCUUCUCAAAUUUAAUGGGGAUUUUUUCUCUGGAUCAAGGCCUAACAACAAUGUCUGAGCCAAAGAAUUGACAAUGACUUUAAAGCUUUAGAUAAUUAUGUUUAUCAGUUCCUUUCCUUCUAUAUACGUGUAUAUUCAGAAUAUCCUUGGAUUCCUUUUGGUCCUCAUUAUUUUCUAGGAGUUAAUUUGAGUUUCCAGACACAUUUAUCCACACAGCUUAACUAAAAACACAAAUUUUUCAUCUUUUGCUGAAGUAUCAAUGUCUUUGACAUCUUUUCCAGUCCUAUUACUUUAGCUGCAUUGUUUUCAAUUCAUAUUCUAGGUUUAGGCAUGCGCAUAAUACCUGCUUAUAAGUAUAUUUAAUUUAUGUUUGAGAAAAAAAUCACCCAAUUCAAAAACUUAACCAGAGAAGAUAAAGUUCGUAACUUUUGUGGUUUAGGGAGCAAAGAGAAAUUUGGAUGUUUUUGCUAUAAGGAAUCUGGCGGAGAGAGAGAGAAGAAGAAGAAAAGAAAGAGAGAAAGAAGAAGAGGAAAGAAAGAGAGAAGGGAAGGAAAUAUAUAUAUAUAUAUAUAUUAUAUAAUUUUGGAUUGAUUUGACUAUUAUAUGUUAUAAAAAAUAAUAGUUUUCCUCUUUCCGUAAAGCCAAAUACAAAACAUUUAUAUCAUAAAUAAUAUAUAAACAAAUUGGAAAGCUUUGAAGGUAUAAUAAAAUUGAAGAAAACAAAAUAAUAGGUAAGUAAAGGAAAAUAAAUAAUAAGUAAGAAAGUGAGUUUGGUACGGUGAAGCACGUCAAAGACGCUGUCCUAAAGCCUUUGUAGCCUCCCUACGUGCAGGUACUGACGGUCUACAAGACUCCAAGAUACGACCCCUUGUACACAAACUCAAGAUCCGCUAUGAGCACGUUCACAGACAGAUAUAGGUAUCCAAGUCACAUAACCAUUGCCCAAAAUAAUAAUAAUAAAGUAGAGAAUAUAUGUAAAAGUAGAAAAGGAGAGAAUUAGAAUGUGUAUGUGAUAUUCUGAUAGUGUAUUGUAUAUAUCGUGUGUUAUUGUGUGUUUCAAAUGUGAAGGAGGAGUGGCCUUUUAUAGGCAUUUUCUUAAUCUUAUCAUAAUUUUAAUAAAUUUAGGUCGAUUUGUUUGGAAAAAAUAAUUAAACUUAACAUAAGAAACAAUUAACACAAAAAAUUAAAACACAAGAAAAUUUAACAUAAAAACCAAAUUUACAUCUUUCUUUAUUGAAGCAAAAUCAUGAUUUACAUUCGCCGAAAAUAUAAAAGAGAUGUAAAAAUGACUUUACACUCCCAAAUCUACGUCUCCCCACUGAAAAUGCUCUUAGAUCAUCAAAUUGGAAGUGUAUGUUCCUCCAUGACCUUCGCUUAAAACAGAAAGGUGGGGGAAAGACGAUAAAAUCAAAAUGUUCUACAUUAUGCGCGAUCUCUCGUAGCCAUAGCUCUAGAAUUCCAAAUGAACAUAAAACCUAAGUACGCACCCCACCUUUGUUUUAUUGCUUUUGGAUUGUACUUGUCGAAUAUUAAUUAUUGACAAGGAUAUCAAUAAUGCUCACGCCACACAUAUGGUUAAUUGUAAUAAUUUAGUAUGGUUGAAAAUUCCCUAUUUUAGAAAGCUUUAUCAAAUGUUUUUAUAAUGAAGACGGCUCUAUUUAUUGACUCUUGCACAUUAAAUUUUUAGGUGUUAUAUAUAUAUAUAUAUUUAUUUUUUUGUCAUUCGCUAGGGAGAGGGAGGAGGAGCAUUAUAUUGGAUUGUCUUAAAAUUAUCUCUUACGUGAAUCGAAUUCGGGUGCAUUUCAGGGUGGGGGAGAGUUUGGCCCACUUUUUCACUAUGGUGUCACCCCAUAUGUAAAUUUUAUGCGUUAUUAAAAGGGUGUUGUUAAACAAACCCUAAAAUUAACUUAGUACACCAUACUACCAAACUAUUUAUUGAGUUACUAAUUUACCCUAAUAUAAAAUGACCAAAAAGGAUACAUUGAAUUGUAAAUACCCAAUUAAUUUUAGGAUAUACUUGGUUAAUUUUAGGAUUCGUCAAACAACACCCUAUUAAAAUUUGACUUAUGCUACAAUCAAUCAUGUAUGUUUGCAAAUAUAAUUUCUACCAGUUCAAUUGUUCGGCCAAAUGAAGCACAUAUUUAUUUUUCAAAUGUCAUCCACAUAUAUUAUGAUACAUGAACUUAUUAUACAACGUGACUGUAUUCUAAUACCAUACAAUAAUUUCUAAAAGGCUAAAUUGUAGCAAUGGUACUUGGACUAAGACCAAACUUUACUUUUCGUCCCUCCCAUUGUUUUGUUGUUACCGUGGUACUUCAAUUAGCUCUCAUGUUGCAUCAUUGGUUUUUCCGUCAACUUAGUUAAAUUUUCUGUCAAAAUUAAGGGUAAAUUGGAAAAUUCUAUUUUUUUUUUCUCUCUCUCUCUCUCCCCUCCCCUACUGUGCACUCUCCCUCUUCCCCCGACGAUUUCUUCUUCCCCCAUUCCCCAUGACUACCACCUGCAAGCUCCAACCCUCAAACUAUCCCACAGCCACCCUCUACCGUAGCCGCAACCCUAGCACCCACGAACCCAAAACUCGAGCCCUCAUCCUCCACCCCAGAUCUGAUCAAAACAGAGAAGCAGAGGGUUGAUGGGUAUCUAGGUGGGCCGCUUGCAUUGUCUGUCCCAUUUUCAUAUAUUCUUCUUGCAUUGGUUUUUUAUCAAAAUACACCAUUUUUCAAGGCCCCUUCUCACCCAUAUUUCUUCUCCUGCCCACCAAUUUCUUCCCAGCCCCCACCAAUCAUUUAACCAUGGCUUUAGCUAUACAGCCCACCACCAACCUCCUCCAAAAUCCCUUCCUAGGCCUCUAUAGGUUACGAAUGGAUGGGUUGUUACUAGAUUCUUUUUGCAUAUAUGGUGUUUUGCAGUUCAAAUGGAUAUUGGGAGGAAGCUUUAGAAAUUUUACAUAGUUGAGAGUGAACCUCCGACCUUUUUUUUUGGGGGGGAGGGGGGGCGGGAAUCGGGGGAGAGAGAGAUACGAUUUUAUUUUUUAUUUUUUUAAAAAUUUUGUGCCAAAAUACAUUUUUGCCCAUGCCAAGUAGGACUUGUCAAUGCCAUAUCAUCAUUUUUAACGGAAAAUUUGACAAAGAUGACGGCAAGGACGGUUUCUGUAACUGGAGGCAUAAUUAAAAUACCACGGUAACAACAAAACAAAGGGAGGGACAAAAAGUAAAGUUUGGUCUUAGUCCACGAACCAUUGCUACAAUUUAGCCUUUCUAAAAAUUACCGAAACUAGUAUUUCUCUAGAUGGGCCCACUUUGAAGCUAGUAUUAUACUAUUUCUCACCGUGAGCUCAUACACUUUAGUUCCCCCGUUAUUAUUUCCCACGAUACAAGUCGAAAGAAAUAGGGUAAAACGUGAAAACACAGCCCAACCUUCAAAGUUGAAUGAAAUCAUUUCAUUUUUUCUUUUACCAAAAAAAUCAGAGACUCAUUAGCAGAAGAAGAAAGAAAAACCCCAUAACAUCAACAGUCACCAUGAAAAACCUCUACAACAAGAAAGGCAUAGUCCACCCAUCUCCAUCGCCAGCCCCCCCAGCCAUUCUCACCCUAACCGCAGCCCUCUGCGACGAAGACAAGCAGGUCCUGGCCUACCUCAUCUCUCCUACACCAACAACAACAACAACAACUCAGGCAGCAACAUCUGUGGUAUUUUUGGGCAUUGGUCCCCAAACCAAUGUCAUAAAAGUAAUCUGUCAGAUUUGUUGGAGUAUGAAAGCUGCUAAAAUAUGAAUAUGGUUUGAAUGUAUUAGGUUGAGUUUUAUUCUUCUCCAUAAAGAUGUAUAUAUAAGAGUUUACAUGUGCUAUACAAUGAAUUAGAUACAGUAAAGAAUUAGGAAAGUAUCUCCUAAUUAUACAAUGAUUUAUCAACUAUAUAAAAAUAGGAAAGUAAAUCCCUUAAUUAAUCAAGGAAGUAAAUCUCCUUAAUUAAUUAGGAGACUCACGUCAACACUCUUCCUCAAGUUUGUGCAUAUAUGUCACCAAUGCCCAACUUCGUAAGUGAGUCAUAAAAUACUCUUCCACAAAUAGAUUUGGUUAAGAUAUCUGCCAACUGAUCUUCUGAUUUUACGAAUAGUAGGUAGAUGAUCUUCUUCUCAAGUUUUUCUUUGAUAAAAUGUUUAUCCACCUCAACAUGUUUAGUUCGAUCAUGUUGAAUUGGAUUAUGGGCAAUAUCGAUGGCUGACUUGUUAUCACAAUGUAACUCCAUUGGCUUUUCUGGCAUGAACCCCAAUUCUGUCAAUAGUCUUCUUAUCCAUAGUAAUUCACAAACUCCUUGAGCCAUUCCUCGAUAUUCUGUUUCAGCACUAGUUCGAGAAACUACAUUUUGUUUCUUACUCCGCCAAGUGACUAGGUUACCUCCCACAAAAGUGAAGUAACCUGAAGUAGAUCGUCUGUCAGUAACGGAGCCAGCCCAAUCAACAUCUGUAUAUCCAACAACUUCGAGAUCUCUAUUUUUGGAGAAUGUCAACCCUUUCCUAGGUGCUGACUUUAAGUAUCUUAAGAUCCGAUCAACUGCAUUCCUAUGGGACACACUCGGUGAAUGCAUAAACUAACUAACCACACUCACAGCAUAUGCAAUAUCUGGUCUUGUGUGAGCUAAAUAUAUCAACCUUCCAACAAGGCGUUGGUACUGUUCCUUAUUGAUUGGUUCUUGAUCCAUGUCUUCACAUAACUUGUUUGUGAUUCAUCUCGAUGGGUGUAUCAACAGGUUUGCAUCCAAGCAUUCCUGUUUCAGUGAGCAGAUCUAAUACAUACUUCCUUUGAGACAGAAAUAUACCAAUUGUGAACUGGCUACUUCAAUUCCUAAAAAGUACUUCAGAUCACCUAAAUCUUUCAUCUCAAAUUCUUGAGACAAAUACUUCUGCAGUUUCAGUUGCUCUCCUGUGUCGUUUUCAGUUACGACUAUGUCAUCCACAUAAACAAUCAAUGCAGUAAGUCUUUUUCCAUCACGCUUCAAGAAUAAAGUGUGAUAUGCAUUACUCUGUAUAUAUCAAAAAUUCUACAUGGAUUUAGUGAAUCUGCCAAACCAUGCCCUAGGGGAUUGUUUUAACCCAUACAAUGACUUUCUAAGCUUGCAAACUUGAUUCUCCUUGUCACGAGCUAAGUUACAUCCUGGUGGCAAGUCCAUAUAUACUUCUUCUUCCAAGUCUCCAUGUAAGAAAGCAUUUUUGACAUCAAACUGAUGUAAUGGCCAAUCGAGAUUUGCUGCUAGAGACAGAAGGACUCUGAUAGUUUUAAUCUUGGCUACUGGGGCAAAGAUUUCUUGAUAGUCUAUCACAUAUCUUUGUGCGUACCCCUUCACCAAAAAUCUAACUUUAUAUCUUUCAAUGGAUCCAUUUGCUUUGAGUUUCACAGUAUAAAUCCACAUGCAUCCCAAUGUCUUCUUUCUAUGAAGUAAUGGCACAAGUUCUCAUGUGUCAUUCUUCUGGAGAGCUCGCAUUUCUUCAUUCAUGGCUUCUUUCCAUUUUGAACCUUCUAGUGCUUCAGUUACAUCGUUGGAAACAGGUAUGUCGGCCAACUGCUUCACAAAUUGUACCUGUAACUCUGAUAAUCUAUUGAUGGAUACAUAAUUGUUGAUGGGAUAUUUCCCCUUUGCAUUAAGGUCUGCUUCAUAGUGAACUGGAGAUUUUCCACGGUUAUUCCGUUUUGGAAUAUGAUAUGCAGGCUCUGUGCCUUCUGAAAUUAAAUCAUCAUGGGCUAUUUCAUUAAUGUUAUUCGUUUCAGGAAAAGAUGUUACCUGAAUGACGUCUUCAGUAGGUGAUUGGUGUGGUACUGGAGUUGAAGAAUACUCCUGAGUGGGAAAAAACUCCUCAAUUUUCUCCUCCUGAGUCUGAUAGUCGGGAAACGACCGGUCGCAGUCCUCUAGCGACCGGUCGUUUUGAAGAAGCAUAUUCAGAUUUGUAGGUGGCAACCAGUCGCUUUCAACCUGCGACCGAUCGUUUUCAGAUAGAGUCUCUGGCGACCAAUCGUUUGCACCCUGCGACCGGUCGUUUUUAGGCAGAGUCUUGGGAUACCGAUCGUUCGAAUCCUGUGACCGGUCGUUUUCAUUCUGGGAAAAAUUUGAAGGGAAAAAUUCUGAAAUGUGAGAAGUGUUGGCAUUUUGAUCCUCCUCCUGGAUGGCUGAAAAAUAUAUGUCGGAUUCCCGGAAUACAACAUCCAUAGAAGUAUAGACUUUCUAACUCAGAUGAUGAUAACACCGGUACACUUUCUGAUGAGGUGCAUAGCCGAUGAAAACACAUUUUUCGGCGCGGAGAUCCAAUUUGCUGCGUUGGUGAUCAUGUAAGUAGACGAAGACCACACAGCCAAAGAUCAGGGGGAUACGGGGUUCCAGGUUUUUGGUAUGAGGUAUUUGGAGAUGGUGGUAGAGUGUUUGAAGGGGGGUUUGGAAAUUGAGGAUACUGGAGGGAAUCCGAUUGAUAAGAUAUGUUGUAGAGAGGACGGCUUCUCCCCAAAAGGACCGAGGCAUAUUGGAGGCAAAGAGAGAGGCACGAACCACUUCCAAUAAGUGUCUAUUCUUUCGUUCAGCCACACCAUUUUGUUGGGAAGUGUAAGGGCAUGAAUGUUGAUGUAUGAUGUCAUGAUCUUGUAAGAACUGAUUAAGAUCACGGUUGAGAAAUUCUCCGCCAUUGUCAGACCGAAGAACCUGAAUUCUGGUAUGAAAUUGGGUCUCUACCAUUUGAUAGAACUAUUGAAAUUUGGAAUUGACGUCCCCUUUUGUUUGGAGAAGAGAAACCCAGGUCAUACGUGUGCAAUCAUCGAUAAACGUGACCAACCAUCUAGCUCCCCCAAGAGUGGUAAUUUUAGUCGGGCCCCAAACAUCAGAAUGAACAAGAGAAAAGGGAACCAAACUUUUAUGUGAACUUAACGGAAAAGGAACACGAUGGCUCUUGGCUAGUUCACAGAUGCCACAUGUAAAACUGGAGAUAUCUAACUGGGAAAAUAAGGAAUGAAAUAGCUUCUGUAAAUAUCCAAACGACGCAUGUCCAAGAUGUCGAUGCCAUAACUAUACUUCGGAAGUUUGCUUCUCAACACUCGUACCCCUAAUUUUGUAAGCUUGACUGAGGCUGGCUUCACUAUCAAAGGCCAAGUCCAGAUAGUAGAGUUUGCCCCUCCUAGUACCACAACCAAUCGUCUUGCUGCUGAGGUUGUCCUAAAAAACACAAUGAGUAGGCCAAAAGGUUACAUUGCAAUUCAAAGCCGUAGUAAUUUGGGCAACAAACAAAAAAUUAUGAUGUAAGGAUGGAACAAUCAACACAGAAUCCAAAGUGAGGGAGUCACAGCGAGAGAGGGAACCCUCCCCAAUUACUGAGGAAGGGGUACCAUUGGCAUUAGACACCACCGAUUGAGAAGACGGGGUAUGAGAGGUAAGUUGUCCAGGAUCAAAGGUCAUGUGAUCAGUAGCUCCGAUGCAAUGACCCAAAUGUGUUUCUUUGAAAAACUAUGCAAAACAUAACCGUGGGAACCUGUUAUGGCAAUUUUGGAGGAUGGGGAAGUGACAGCGAUUUGGGAAGAUGAUACGAUAUUCAUGGCAGCGGAAGGAUUGAAGAAUAAGAGAACAAAAAAAAAAUUUGUGUUUAGGGUGUUAUGAUAAGAGGAUAUGAGGAUUCAUGUAUGAAGAUCUGUAUUUGAAGCUGUAAAUAUGAGGAAUUUGAUUUAAGGUUUGGGUGUGAAGAAAUUUGAUAUGAGAAUUUAGGGUUUGUGUUUGAAGAAAUUUGAUAUGAGGAUUUAGGGUUUGUGUUUGAAGAAAAUUUGAUAUGAGAAUUUAGAGACAACCGAGGAUCGAUUGCUCUGAUACCAUGCUAAAAUAUGAAUAUAGUUUGAAUGUAUUAGGUUGAGUUUUAUUCUUCUCCAUAAGGAGGUAUAUAAAAGAAUUUACAUGUGAUAUAUAAGGAAUUAGAUACAGUAAAAAAUUAGGAAAGUAUCUCCUAAUUAUACAAUGAUUUAUCAACUAUAUAAAAAUAGGAAAGUAAAUCCUUUAAUUAAUCAAGGAAGUAAAUCUCCUUGAUUAAUUAGGAGACUCACGUCAACAAACGCUACAUAAAAGAAUUAAGAUCAAAUAUCACUUUUUUUUAUUUUCCAUUUAUUCUGUGAUCAAUCCCAGCCAUCAUUACAUAUCAAAUGUGUAUGGCAAAAAGUAAACUAGAUAGAUAAUAGUGGAACUAUAAGUUGAGGCUUUCGGGGACAAUACAACUAAUCUUCCAAAGACAUGAAAAUGAGGCAUGUAUUUAAUCACAAAACUUAGCACCUCCAAUUCUGUUGGGAAGAGCUUUAAAAACCCAAGUCAAGUUUGAAAGGAACUGGCCAUUUUCUUGGGCGGUUGGCAACCACAUGAUAUGGUUUACAUUAACUCACACAGCUCUCUUCUGUCUCACUCACUUUCCACAUUUGGCUGCAUUUUUCGGUAGUACUUGUGAAGGCCAAUGCAGUCUUAUUUGCCCUCCAAAUCUCUAGCUUAAAAGUUGAGGACCAUAGCUAACAUGAUCUUCAUGCAUGUGAAACAAUCCAAUCAACAUGAUGUAUAGGAAAGAUUUGAAUGCCAAAUGGAUUGAGUUUUGGUUUAUGAGUUUCAAUAAUUUGCCACUAAACAUGGCUUCAUGUGCCUAGUUUAAUUUCAUUCGUAUAGGUGGGUGUAUACUUUUCCAACGUUCGUAUAGGUAGGUAGACAUAAAUAAUUCGUUAGUGUAUACAAAAUCCAUACACGUCAAUGAAAAUGAUACAACAUUUAUUGGUACAACAAUAUAUUUGGUCCUCCAGGGCAACUGGCUUGAAUUUGGUUCUUUUCUUUUUUUUCCUUUUUUUUUUUCUCAUUAACCGGACUGGGUAGGUUGGGAUUGUGGUGGGGAGAAGUCGAACUUGAAUCUCUUCCAAUUGAUCGGAAAAAUAAAUAUAUCAUGCUUAUGGUCAAAAUUAGUACUAAUUAUCUUUCUCAAAUUCUUAACUAUAAUUUUUAAACCUACGUGAUUUUUCAUCAUCAGUCAGAAAAUAUAAGCGGAUGAGUGAGUGAGUGGUUUAAUUUUUCUCCGAAAUUCGUACAGUACAGUGCAGCCGGGGCCUUCUGUUUGAUUUGAUUGAAUAAAUUAGUUUGACAUAAUAAUCUAUCUGCAGAAAUAUCACCUCCACAACCACAAUUAAUUUGAUAUUUUUCAUUUCUUGAUCCCAUAUAUUUUGACACUGAAUAUUAAUUGCUCCAUAGUAUUGCAAUGGAAUUAAUGAUACACCUGUCUCUCUGUCUAGAAAUCUAGAAAUCCCCUUGAAGACCAACCUCCGUAAAGCAUUAGCAGCAAUUUAAACUCUCAACAACUUCCCUCUACCCCAAUGCCUUUUAAUUCAAACUUUUGUAUUUAUGUUCCAACCAAUAUUAUUUAUACAUGACAAAUCCCCCCUCCUCAACCCAUGUACAAGGUUGUUCUGUUCACGCACACAUCUGGACACAAAUAAUUAACAAGCAAAACAGCUGAACAUGGCAAACUUGCACAUUUCAUGGCUUCUUCUAGCUCAAUGCCUGUUGCUAGUCACCAGAAUUACUGCCAAAGUCCCAGCAGUCGUCGUGUUCGGGGACUCUUCGGUUGAUGCUGGGAACAACAAUCAGAUUCCCACAAUUGCCAGGAGUAACUUUCAGCCUUAUGGCCGGGACUUUUCCGGUGGCAAGCCGACUGGGAGGUUCUCCAACGGCAGAGUGCCUACAGAUUUCAUCUCCCAGGCUCUUGGACUCAGACCAUUCAUACCUGCCUACUUGGAUCCUUCCCAUAGCAUAUCAGAUUUUGCCAUUGGUGUCACCUUUGCUUCCGCUGGGACUGGCUAUGAUACUGCAACUUCAGAUGUGCUGGUAAGUACCAAAUAUUUAGCAUAAAGCUUCUCUUGUCUCACACACAUUUAAUAUCGAGUAAUGCUACACUUAUCACAUUUUUAUCCCACAUUUCUAUACCACAUGAUAUGGCAUGUCCAUAUCAUAUGCCACAUCAAUUAAAUCAAUGAAGUAUAUUUCAAUAAACAAAGUUUAAUUGACAAUUUUUUUUUAAAGUGUUAAUAAAUCAUAAAAGAAUAGAAAAUGUUAAAUAAUUUUAAUUGACAUGUGGCUGUCCACCUCAUCUGCCAUAUAAGGUGGUAUGGGAAUGUGAUAUACAAAUGUACUAAGAGUAGCAUUAUUCUUUAAUAUCAUAUGAGCUACUGAUAUGGGUUAGGCCAGUUGGCCAGAACAGUAGGCUCGCUUCUUUGCACAUAAGUUCGAAACUUCCUCCCCAUAAAUUAAAUUAAUUUAAUAUUACCUCUUCUAUAAAAAAUAAAAAAUAAAAAUCAGAUGGCCUUUACCCUUACCUCUUACUCAGCAUGUGGUGUUCAUAAUUGGACUUGAAUGUUUAUCCUUACCCCUUACCCAAUACGUGGUGUUCACGUGUUGGGCUUGAAUGUUUGACUCUGAUGUGGACUUGGCUUCACAUGUAGCCCACUAUAUGGUAGUCCCACGCGACGGGGCUAGUUGAAGAAUAUGAGUCCCAUAUCGGAAACUUGACUAAAUAAAAUACAAAAUACAAUAAAUGGUUCCACUACUAAUAUAACCGAGGCCUUUUGUGAUACAACCUCAUACUUACUGGGCUUUGUAGGUAGCUAAGUUGGGGACAAUAUCGAUGUUGCUAGUAGUGGGUCGAUGAUCCAUCUUUCUAAAAUUUAACAAUAGAUUGAUAUUGGAUACUAGCCAAUUAGUGUCCAUUCCAUCAAUAUCAUGUUCAAUUUUCCUUUUUUUAAAGAAAGUACCAGUUCAUCAUUUGUCACUGCCUUAAUUUGCAGUCUGUGAUACCACUAUGGAAGCAACUGGAGUACUACAAGGAAUACCAGAACAAACUGAGACUUUAUCUUGGAGGAAACAAAGCAAACGAAACAAUCAAUGGAGCUUUGCACAUUAUGAGCUUAGGGACCAAUGACUUCCUGGAAAACUACUACUCAUACCCCGGCCGGUCAUCCCAAUACUCUAUCCAACAGUACCAAUAUCUUCUCAUUGGAAUUGCAGGAAAUUUCAUCAAGCAACUCUACCAUCUUGGAGCCCGGAAAAUCUCCCUCGGAGGUCUGCCUCCGAUGGGGUGCUUGCCAUUGGAGAGAACCACAAACAUCAUGGGUGGAAAUGACUGCAUUGAAGAUUACAACAAUGUUGCUCUGGAGUUCAAUGGCAAGUUGAAUGGCUUGACCACAAACCUCAACAAAGAGCUUCCUGGUCUCAAACUUGUGUUUUCAAACCCAUAUUACAUUUUCCUGCAGAUGAUAAGAAGACCUUCUUUGUAUGGUAAGUCAGUGACUUGUAUUAAGUGUGCUCUGUUGCAAAUGUUUGACCCAACCACUACACAAAAUCUUUAGAGCACCAUAUUUCUCACUUUAGCAUUUAAGUAUUCACAUUCUUUUGGGUGGUGGAUAUCAUGUGAUUUUUAUUUCUAGUUUUUAUAUGUAGUUUUUUCUCCCCUGUUUAAGCUAGAGAAUUUGUACACUAGUUAAACUGUGAUUUGUCUGAUUAAAUUAUCGUGUGAUUGACAGGAUUUGAAGUGACAUCAGUAGCUUGCUGUGCCACAGGGAUGUUUGAAAUGGGGUACGCAUGCAAUCGAAACAACAUGCUCACCUGCACAGAUGCAAGCAAAUAUAUAUUCUGGGAUUCUUUUCACCCUACAGAGAAAGCAAACCAUAUCAUCUCUGAUUAUGUGGUGAAAAAUGUACUGGCCCAGUUUCUUUGAUUCUCUUUAAUUUCAAGACCAAUGUAUGUGUCCUAUGU
rnacentral:lncRNA from 1 species